rnacentral:rRNA from 1 species
UACAGAGGUCUCAAGCGUUGUUCGGAUUCAUUGGGCGUAAAGGGUGUGUAGGUGGCGCUGUAAGUCGGGUGUGAAAUUUCGGAGCUUAACUCCGAAACUGCAUUCGAUACUGCGGUGCUUGAGGACUGGAGAGGAGACUGGAAUUCAUGGUGUAGCAGUGAAAUGCGUAGAUAUCAAGCGGAACACCAGUGGCGAAGGCGAGUCCCUGGACAACUCCUGACACUGAGGCACGAAAGCUAGGGGAGCAAACAGG